UUAAGCGACUAAGCGUACACGGUGGAUGCCCUGGCAGUCAGAGGCGAUGAAGGACGUGCUAAUCUGCGAAAAGCGCCGGCGAGGUGAUAUGAACCUUUGACCCGGCGAUGUCCGAAUGGGGAAACCCAGUGUGUUCCGACACACUAUCGUUAACUGAAUACAUAGGUUAACGAGGCGAACCGGGGGAACUGAAACAUCUAAGUACCCCGAGGAAAAGAAAUCAACCGAGAUUCCCCCAGUAGCGGCGAGCGAACGGGGAGCAGCCCAGAGUCUGAAUCAGCUUGUGUGUUAGUGGAAGCGUCUGGAAAGUCGCACGGUACAGGGUGACAGUCCCGUACACGAAAGCACACAGGCUGUGAACUCGAAGAGUAGGGCGGGACACGUGGUAUCCUGUCUGAAUAUGGGGGGACCAUCCUCCAAGGCUAAAUACUCCUGACUGACCGAUAGUGAACCAGUACCGUGAGGGAAAGGCGAAAAGAACCCCGGCGAGGGGAGUGAAAAAGAACCUGAAACCGUGUACGUACAAGCAGUGGGAGCACCUUCGUGGUGUGACUGCGUACCUUUUGUAUAAUGGGUCAGCGACUUAUAUUCUGUAGCAAGGUUAACCGUAUAGGGGAGCCGAAGGGAAACCGAGUCUUAACUGGGCGUUAAGUUGCAGGGUAUAGACCCGAAACCCGGUGAUCUAGCCAUGGGCAGGUUGAAGGUUGGGUAACACUAACUGGAGGACCGAACCGACUAAUGUUGAAAAAUUAGCGGAUGACUUGUGGCUGGGGGUGAAAGGCCAAUCAAACCGGGAGAUAGCUGGUUCUCCCCGAAAGCUAUUUAGGUAGCGCCUCGUGAACUCAUCUUCGGGGGUAGAGCACUGUUUCGGCUAGGGGGCCAUCCCGGCUUACCAACCCGAUGCAAACUACGAAUACCGAAGAAUGUUAUCACGGGAGACACACGGCGGGUGCUAACGUCCGUCGUGAAGAGGGAAACAACCCAGACCGCCAGCUAAGGUCCCAAAGUCAUGGUUAAGUGGGAAACGAUGUGGGAAGGCACAGACAGCCAGGAUGUUGGCUUAGAAGCAGCCAUCAUUUAAAGAAAGCGUAAUAGCUCACUGGUCGAGUCGGCCUGCGCGGAAGAUGUAACGGGGCUAAACCAUGCACCGAAGCUGCGGCAGCGACACUAUGUGUUGUUGGGUAGGGGAGCGUUCUGUAAGCCGUUGAAGGUGUGCUGUGAGGCAUGCUGGAGGUAUCAGAAGUGCGAAUGCUGACAUAAGUAACGAUAAAGCGGGUGAAAAGCCCGCUCGCCGGAAGACCAAGGGUUCCUGUCCAACGUUAAUCGGGGCAGGGUGAGUCGACCCCUAAGGCGAGGCCGAAAGGCGUAGUCGAUGGGAAACAGGUUAAUAUUCCUGUACUUGGUGUUACUGCGAAGGGGGGACGGAGAAGGCUAUGUUAGCCGGGCGACGGUUGUCCCGGUUUAAGCAUGUAGGCGGAACGAUUAGGUAAAUCCGGUCGUUUUUUAACGCUGAGGUGUGAUGACGAGGCACUACGGUGCUGAAGUAACAAAUGCCCUGCUUCCAGGAAAAGCCUCUAAGCAUCAGGUAACAUCAAAUCGUACCCCAAACCGACACAGGUGGUCAGGUAGAGAAUACCAAGGCGCUUGAGAGAACUCGGGUGAAGGAACUAGGCAAAAUGGUGCCGUAACUUCGGGAGAAGGCACGCUGAUAUGUAGGUGAAGCCCCUGCGGGUGGAGCUGAAAUCAGUCGAAGAUACCAGCUGGCUGCAACUGUUUAUUAAAAACACAGCACUGUGCAAACACGAAAGUGGACGUAUACGGUGUGACGCCUGCCCGGUGCCGGAAGGUUAAUUGAUGGGGUUAGCGGUAACGCGAAGCUCUUGAUCGAAGCCCCGGUAAACGGCGGCCGUAACUAUAACGGUCCUAAGGUAGCGAAAUUCCUUGUCGGGUAAGUUCCGACCUGCACGAAUGGCGUAAUGAUGGCCAGGCUGUCUCCACCCGAGACUCAGUGAAAUUGAACUCGCUGUGAAGAUGCAGUGUACCCGCGGCAAGACGGAAAGACCCCGUGAACCUUUACUAUAGCUUGACACUGAACACUGGUCCUUGAUGUGUAGGAUAGGUGGGAGGCUUUGAAGUGUGGACGCCAGUCUGCAUGGAGCCGUCCUUGAAAUACCACCCUUUAAUGGCUGGUGUUCUAACGUAGACCCGUAAUCCGGGUUGCGGACAGUGUCUGGUGGGUAGUUUGACUGGGGCGGUCUCCUCCCAAAGAGUAACGGAGGAGCACGAAGGUUAGCUAAUCCUGGUCGGACAUCAGGAGGUUAGUGCAAUGGCAUAAGCUAGCUUGACUGCGAGAGUGACGGCUCGAGCAGGUGCGAAAGCAGGUCAUAGUGAUCCGGUGGUUCUGAAUGGAAGGGCCAUCGCUCAACGGAUAAAAGGUACUCCGGGGAUAACAGGCUGAUACCGCCCAAGAGUUCAUAUCGACGGCGGUGUUUGGCACCUCGAUGUCGGCUCAUCACAUCCUGGGGCUGAAGUAGGUCCCAAGGGUAUGGCUGUUCGCCAUUUAAAGUGGUACGCGAGCUGGGUUUAGAACGUCGUGAGACAGUUCGGUCCCUAUCUGCCGUGGGCGCUGGAGAAUUGAGGGGGGCUGCUCCUAGUACGAGAGGACCGGAGUGGACGCAUCACUGGUGUUCGGGUUGUCAUGCCAAUGGCACUGCCCGGUAGCUAAAUGCGGAAAAGAUAAGUGCUGAAAGCAUCUAAGCACGAAACUUGCCCCGAGAUGAGUUCUCCCUGAGACUUUAAGUCUCCUGAAGGAACGUUGAAGACGACGACGUUGAUAGGUCGGGUGUGUAAGCGCAGCGAUGCGUUGAGCUAACCGAUACUAAUGAACCGUGAGGCUUAACCUU
rnacentral:rRNA from 1 species